UUAAUCCUGUUACAGAAGGCUGUCACCUGGUUCAAGUAAUCCAGGAUAGGCUGUAUCCAUUCCUGCUGGCCUAUUCUUGGUUACUUGCACUGGGAGGCAGCCGCAGUGCUGCAAAUGAGGA
rnacentral:pre_miRNA from 7 species